rnacentral:tmRNA from 1 species
ACUGGCUUCGACGGGAAAGGUUGGCUCUAGGCUGCAAGCCGAGUAUCGCUUCUCACCUCGUAAAACUGCGGGGCGAAAUGAAUAAGUGCCAACGCACGUUCAUACAACGCUCUUCCAAUGGCUGCCUAGUGUAGCUUAGGUUGAGUAAGAGGGUCCAUAAAGCGACCCCCGCUCGCUCUAGAUUCUCAUUGAUGGUCUAUUGUCCGAGUGUCAUAUUAGUCAAUGUGCGGUGCAUAGAUGUUGAUAUAUGCACUUAAGGUUCAUCAACUCGCCGUAACCUGACCCGGUUGGUUGGGGCGCUUUACGGUUAAACUUUAAAUGAACCGACUAAGCUUGUAGACGCCUGGUCGUCGAAUUUUUCGGACGCGGGUUCGAUCA